rnacentral:rRNA from 1 species
AACGAACGCUGGCGGCAGGCCUAACACAUGCAAGUCGAACGCUCCGCAAGGGGAGUGGCGCACGGGUGAGUAACACGUGGGAACCCACCUUCUGGGUACGGAACAACCAAGGGGAACGUUUGGCUAAGACCGUAUACGACCUCCGGGUGAAAGAUUGAUCGCCGGAAGAGGGGCCCGCGUCCGAUUAGGUAGUUGGUGAGGUAACGGCUCACCAAGCCUUCGAUCGGUAGCUGGUCUGAGAGGAUGACCAGCCACACUGGGACUGAGACACGGCCCACGACUCCUACGGGAGGCGAGCAGUGGGGAAUAUUUGGACAAUGGGCGGCAAGCCUGAUCCAGCCAUGCCGCGUGAGUGAUGAAGGCC